AAACUUUUUUUUUACAUUUCUCUUAAUGUUUACAAAUUUAUUAUAUUCAAGAAAUUCGCGGCUAUUUUUGUUAUUUUUACUUGAAUUUUGAAUUUCCAAUCAAAAUUUUGACAGAAUUUAGAAAUAAAGGAAAGCUUUAUCAUUUUUUACGUCAUGUUCCUCCUGUCUUCAGUUAAAAUUCACUGCGCAUAUUUGCGUAUUACAUUUAUGAACUCCUGACAUUUCGCUGGCUGAGAAUUAUAAGGGUGUAUUUCAUACAAAAUACAAAAAAUGAGUUUUAUACACCAAAAUUUUCGUAAUUUUAGUGGCUUUUAGAUAAAAUUUAAAAAAAAAUUAGAAAAACAUUAAUGGCGACGGCACAGUUAAAAAAGACAUACAACUUUCAUGAUUUCACAUACAUGUAUUAAUAUAAUAAGGUUCUAUAUUAUUCAAAUUGCAACAUAGAACCUUUUUACUGAUUUUUUCAAAAAAAAAAAAUACAUUGAUUUAAGUUACAUAGAACUUUUUUAUGCAAAUUUUUCAAAAUGAAAUCUUAUGGAAAUGAUAUUUUUUCUUACUAAAGUAAAAAUAAAAGAUCUUUUGAUGUUUUUGCUGGUAUUGAACAACAGGGAUGGAGUCGGCCUACUUGAUAGUCAAUAAAUGACAGUCAAAAACGACGAUUUUGCUCCAUAAUUCGUCGUUUUUGACUAUCAACUAUCGACUAUCAAGUUAGCGGACGGGCUUUUGCUUAGCAGCAAAGAAUUUUUGUAUCUCGUUCUGUACUCUUUAAACCAAAAAAUUUGUACUAUCCAACCUUAACUUUUGCAAUAAUUUAUAACCUAGAUAUUCUUACAUCAUAAUUAAAUUAAAAUAAUGUUUUUUGUGUGCCAAGAAUUGGAAGUGAUUUUUUGAAAACUUUUUUUUCAUAAUCGAGGUUGGGAAUUUCAUAGUUCGUAUUAAUAAACCAAAAAUUAAAGAAACACUUAGAUUCCUUAACUUUAAAUAAAAGAAGUCACCUUAGUACCCAAAAAACAAAAAAUUAACUAAUUUUUAGUGGUAUUUGGAAAAUUCAGUAUUUUUUUUUUUUUUUCAAAGGUCAAGAUUUUACUCUACUAACCGUAGUGAACUCUUCGUUAUUCAUCUUAAAAAUUAUGUUAGUUUAUUUCUAUUAAUAGUUUCAUCUAAUAAAAAUUUUUUUUUAACUUGAAGCAAAUUUAAUUACGUUAUACAUGGAGACAAAUAAGCAACUUAGAAUCAAGAUGAUACUCCUCUAAAAUCCAAUCCUCUUAAAUUAAUAAGAUUUCUAAUAAAAAUAAGUAAAAUUUGUUUAAACCUUUUUAAAAUCAAAGUGAACUUCAUUUUAAUAAAAAUUUUCUUCUUAAGAAAAUUUAAGUGUAGAUACCUGCUAAGACUGAAAUUAUUUUUCAUUAAUUUUAUGUACUUAUUAAAAUAAAAAGAUUAAACAAACUUUAAAUUUUUUUUGGCAUACAUUUUGUACCGUAGAUGAUUGUUUUAAGACGACUGUCUUUCUGGCAAAAAAGCAUGCAAAAAUCCGAUUGAUUUAAUACAAAUUCUAAAUGUUUUUAGCAUGUCUUUUUUCUGUGUACCUAAUUCAACAAUUGCUGUUUUCUAAAAAUGCAACAACGUGAUUUGUGGUAUUUUGUUCUGUUAUUUAAAAUAGAUUUUGACCGUUUUGUGCAAAACUUGAAUAAACUUAAAUUAAAUCAAAGCCUAUUUCACGAUGAAGUCACUUUUUUCAUAUAAAAUGCAUUUAUUACGUGUAAGCUCUUUAUAACUAUAAGGUUCUAUGUUGAACAUAGAACCUUUUUCAAAUUUUUUUUACAAAUUUUUUCAUAAAAAGGUUCUAUGUCAUUUUUUAAAAAUGCUCAUAGAAUCCUUUUUUGUUCACCACAAAAAAGGAUUCUAUGAGCAUUUUUAAUGUUUUUUUCAUGGUUUUAUAAUUUGUUUAGGGUCCUUUAUAAGAUUGCAUCAAUACUUUACUGCUAUGUAACUAUUUUAUCCAAAAACCAGCCUUAAAAAACUUUGAGAUCGAUUUUCUCAAAACUAAGGUGAGUUGACAUACAACCCUAUAAUUCUUAGCCAGCGAUUUGUCAUUUGCAUUAAUGAAAGCUUUGCAUUCGUCAGACUUGCGCAACCAUGCAUUUAUGAAAGCACCCGUAGUGUUUGGUGCAGUCGUCGCAUUUUAGUUUGUAUACCCCUGUGCUCGUUCUUGUGUCGUUAUUUGUUUUUGGUUGGAAAAGUUUUGUUAAAUGGUUAUUAGUUUUAAAUGUUAUUGUUAUAUUUUGUUUUUUAAAAGUAUUUUUAAUAAUUUGUGGUAGCAUAUUUGUAUAUUGAAUUGAAAUAGAUUUGGAUAGUAUGUUGAUGGUGUGAUGUUGUAGUCGGUUUUGUUUUUGUUUUUCAUUUUCUUUAAAACUUAUUUGGUUAUUAUAUCUUUAUUCACGGUCGAAGGUCAACUGUCAAAAGAAGAUGUAGAAGCAUGUAAUAAGGUAUAUACUACUGAUAGUGAUUCAGAAUAAAUUAUGAAAAAAUAAACUUAAGAUAAAAAAAGAUGUUUUUAUUUCAAAAUAGCAGUAUUAUUAUCUUUUCAUUAUGCAGUCAGUCCAUAAAUCUUUCUUAGCCUGACAAAUACCUACUCUCCCAUCUUCUUACCCCCUUAUGCAAAUAAUUAAUUUCAUUUAGAGCCAAUUUUUCAAUCUUCUAAUAAACAGUCAGUUAACUGUUCGACGAAUAAAGUUAUUAGGCUCAUAAACAAUCAGAUAAAAACAUUGAAUUUUUCAAUCAAGAAUAAUUUAUUCUACAGAAUAACAAAAAAAAAUUGUCAAAUUCAAAAAUAUUUAAAAUUAAACGUCAUUUUUAUUCAUGAUUGUUUUUGUUUUCUUGUGUUCCACUGUAUUUUUUUCAAAAUUCUUUCAAAACAGCUUUGACAACUGACACAAUAUUUUUGUUGAGAUUUUUCCUUAGAAUAAUUUUUAUUCGUCUCUGAAAGAAGCAGAUAGUUUUAUUCUUAGGAAUAAGCUAUAUCUGCUUGUUGAAAAAUUGAUUUUUUCUCUAUCCUUAGGAAUAAGUACUAACUGACUGUUUAACUGACUAUUGAAAAAUUGGCCCUUAAUAUCAUAAAAAUGAAAUCUUAUAAGAAUACAAAAAAAUUAAAACGUUUUUUUUAGUUUUUAUUUUUAAGUUUAUAAUUAAGUUUUAUUGCAAUUAAAGCGAAAUUAGUUCAAAAUAGUAAUUCAAACAAUAGUUAAUUUAAUAAAUAAUCAUUUAAAAAAAUGAUAUUGGCAGGAAAUUUAAACUGCCUUAACAUUGACUUUUCUUAUACUUUUUUCUUAGCUUAACUUUUCUCUUUUCAUACUUAACAACGAUUUUUUUUUUUUUGACAGGAGGAAAUCUUCAAAAGACACUUGACAGUAUUCGACACCAAGUAGUGUGGGACUCUUAACCACUAAAACCACCUCUUUAUCAGGACCAAACUUGAGAGAUCGACAUCAGAUUUUUCUUUCUUAACUUUGUAAAAUCACUUUGGGGAAGUUUAAACUUUUAAUACUUUCCCAUGUUUUUUUAGACCAUAAGCUCAUGAGGCUUGGUUCUUCUUAAUCUCCGAACAUGGUUUCUUGUAUUCAAGACGGACACCAUUUCAGAACUGGUAUGACCUUACAGUCUCUGAUUAUGCGAUAGAGCGUAUUUUUUAACAACUUCUAUAACCAUUUCUUCACUAUUCCACGAAGGACUUUUUUUUGAAUUUUUGGAUGAUUUCGGUAUUUGUUUUCUUUGUACAGCCCCAUAAUUGGAUACCAUAGGUCCAAACAGGCUUUAGUACUUGAUUAUACAGCAUUAUUUUGUUUUGGGUUGAUAAAUCAGAGUUGUUACCAAGUAACCAAUACAUUUUUCUAUGUGUCAAGUUAAGUUCUUUUGUUUUCUUUUUGAUGUGCUCUUUCUACUUAAUCUUUGCAUCCAAAGUCAUUCCAUGGUAUUUGACCGUAAGUACAGCUUGAUUAUUAAUGAAUAUUGGAAUAUUGUUUAUCUUUUUAUUUGUAAAGUUUAUAUGUGAAGAUUUUGUUUCAUUGAGUUUGAUACGCCAUUUUUCGGUCCAAUCUCUGACUGCGUCGUUGGCAUUUUGUAGUUUUACUGCUGCCUUUUAGAGACACAUUUGUCGGGUACCAAAAUUGCGGUAUCAUUUGCAAAAGUAGCCAUUAUGGUGUGAUUACCAACUGGGAUAUCCCUUGUGUAUAGUAAAUACAGGGUAGGACCUAGGACACUUCCUUGUGGUACACCGGCUUCUAUUUCCUUCAAUUCCGAAUGUUCUUGAUCGUACCUUACUCUAAACAAUCGGUCUGAGAUGUACGAUUUUAAUAUUUCAUAGAUCCUUUUGCAGUUUGUACUCAAGUCCCUCAUGCCAAACCUUGUCAAAGGCUUGAGCAACAUCUAAGAAAAUAGCUGAACACACUUGUUUUUCUUCUAAUGCUUUUUCUAUUACAUCCGUUAUUCUAUUAACUUGGUCUGUCGUCGAAUGUUUAUUUCCAAAGCCAAACUGAUGAUUUGGGAUUAACCUUCUUUCUUCUAUAAUUUUGCUAAGUCUCUUCAGAAGCAGUUUUUCAAAAACUUUUGCCAUAAUUGGUAUAAGCGAUAUUGGUCUGUAAGACGUCACUUCUGUAGGUGGUUUACCUUGCUUGGGUAUGACAAUAACUUCAGCAAUUUUCCAAUGGUGUGGGACAUAUCGUUGCUUAAGGCAUGCAUUUAUUAUAUAUUGGAGUUUUAUGAAGGCUUUCAAUGGCAUUUCUUUCAUAACCUGAUCAGUAAUUAGAUCGUAACCUGGUGAUUUUUUUAUUUGAUAGUUGAUGUAAACACAUACUUUUUAUUUCUUUUAGUAUUACAAUUGGUAUUUCACUUUCAUCUAUCUUAUCAACAAACUGUUAGCUAUUUUCAGCCGCGUUUGUUGGGUAUGGCUUAAAAACAUUCGCAAGAUGCUCAACGAAAAGGUUAGCUUUUUCUUUUGGGUUACCGAUCCAUUUCCCAUCUUGAGAUUUCAAGGGCGAGUUUUGUAACUGCGGACUUUUCAGGCGCUUGGCUGCUUUGCAUAGCGAAAAAUCGGUUGAAGCAUCAGUCGUUAAAUUUUUUAGGAGUGGACUGAGUGAAUCAUUUUUGAAUUUAUAAAUUUGUUUUUUAAGAUUGUUGCUUAGACGGUUAAACGUUGUUUUAUCAUCUGGAAAUCUAGUAUUUUGCCAUUUUCUUCGAGCUCUUCUUUUCUCUAAUAUCAUCUCUCUAAUCUCUAAAGGAUAUUUUAUUUCAUUUUGUUUUCUUAUAGAAAAUGUUGGAGUACUUUCUUCAGCGGCCUGUUGGACAUCAGCAAUAAAUUGUUCCAUGGUCUCUUUGCUCGAUUGUAUCCAUGGAAGAUCUUAGAUUUUAAAACUUAAAAGCCUUUCUCUAAAAUCACUCCAGUUUGUUUUCUUAUUUACAAGCUUUGGAUUACUUUUUUCUAUUACUUCCGAUUCACUUAGUGAAUGAAUCACUAGAGUAUGAUCUGAUGACAGGCCAUAAUUACCUUCGACACUAAUGUGAUUUCGUUUGAUUCCUUUAGUUACGAAAAAGUCAAUAAGGUCUGGUUUUUUGUUAGUAUCGGAAGGCCAGUAAGUUGGCGAUCUGGAGGAAUAGAAUUCGCAAUUGUAUUUACGGCCUGCUUGGAAAAGUCUUUUGCCUUUUGUUUAUAUAAGUCUUGAACCCCAAUGGGAGUGUUUCGCAUUGAAGUCUCCACCAACUAGAAAGUUAUGCCCAAGAAGAUUUAAUAGAUCUGUAUAGUCAUCUUCUGUCGGGAAUCGCCUUGAUGGGUAGUAUAUAGCUGCUAUCUUAAACUCUUUCUUUUUCAUACCAAUACUAAUAGUUGUUACUUGCAUAUUUUCAUUAGUAAGCUUGGUUUCUUCAUAAUGUUUUAAGCUCUCUUUUAUAAGAAUCGCCGAUCCACCUCUUGCCUUGUCAGCUGGAUAUGGAGCGUGGUAACAUGAAUAGUGUUCUACUACAUUAUCUAGACUUUGCCUAUUGGAGAAAUGAGUUUUGGACACCAGGAAAAUAUCUAUAUGUUCUAGAUCUAGAAAGAUUUUUAAUUCGGAUAAGUGUUGUAAAAGACCGUUUGCAUUCCAUGUAGCGAUUUUAAGUGUUCUGUCCAUCAUUGUUUUUUAAGAGCGACUUUUUCGCUUAACUGUUUGAUAUUCAAAUCCUGUUUAUCAAUUUUUUGAAGCAUGAGUUGUAGCAUUUCUUUUAUGGAAGUCUCUUCAUUCUUCCGCACAUUUUAAACAAUCUGAGAAUAGGCUUUAUUUUCAUCGGUUUUACUUUGAACAGCUUUUUUAGGCGGUUCAUUCUUAGUAUUGUUUUCAGCAGUUAAAUCAGUAUUUACUGUGUUUCUGUGUUUGUCUCUAGCAGAUGUAUUUUUUGGCAACUGGGCAGCCUCUAUAGCUUGCCGGGUGAUUACCCUGGCAGUUCACACAUUUUGCUUUCCGAUCUUUGGUCAUCGGACAAUUUUUAGUUGCAUGUUUUCCUCCGCACCUUACACAAGCAAAUUCGCGGUUGCAGUAUUUUUGGGUAUGACCAAAAGCUAACGUUUGCACUGUGGAACAACUUUAGAUUUUCGGAGUGGUUCAAUUUUAACAGCUAUGCCCAAGAUUGAUUUUACUUUAUAAAUCUCCUCGACACUAUUUUACUGUCAAAAGUAAGCAUGAAUAAAGGUAGUAAUCUCUUACUUGUCGUCGAUUCUCCAGAAGAGUUUUUAAUUGUCUCAUUCUUAAAUAGAUUGACUGCAUCAAGGGCUUGGAAGCCUUUUUGUACAAGAUCUUCCACUACUUCCUCGGGAGAGCACGAGGAAUGAAGACCUCUGGCUACUACUUUUAUUGGCCUUGUAGCUUUGUUCUCACAUGAGUGCCAUUGAAUUUGGUUCUUGCUCAGUUCUUCAGUGACAGAAAUCUAUACUCGUCGGCUUCUUCGACUGUGACUUUCAAGUUGUCUUUGUUGUACGAUGUGUAUUUGCAAGCUUUUUUAGUACAUUUUUCAAUUAUUUUCUUAAGAUCUCGAAAAAUUGGAAAUCCUGAGAUCAUAAUUGGUGGUGGUGUAAUUUUUGCUGCCUUUAGCGUCAGAAUUUGAUUUAACAACAGCUACCACAUUAUUCGCUUCUUUAGUUUCCGUAAACAACUCUUUAUUAUUUUCGAUUUUAGAGCUUUUCUGAUUUCUUGAACAAGUCUCAGGACUACGUUUAAGUUUCUUUGUGUCACGCUUAUUUUUCUUUUUCUCAGUUUCAAACAAGAGCUCUUCUUCAUCAGUUUGAUAUUCAGACUCAAUAUAUUUUGGACUUAAAUGAAGCGUGGACCCUGAAUAUUUCUUGUCAAGUAAAGAAACUUCAAGUUGUUUUCUUGCUGCUAUUUCAAUUUGCCAUUCUUCAAAGUAGUUCUUUGAUUUUGAUUGGUCUAUCUCUUUGUCUUCGAUGGAACUCUGUUGAUCUGUAAUGUCGAUCUCUUCAUUUUUCUUGGUCCCUUUUUCGCUGAUGUAUUUAACAUCAAUAGUAGGUAUUGUUUGGGAUUGUCGAUGAUGUAACCUUUGGAGUAAAUUUGUUUGGGGGAGUUCUUUGAAGCUUUGAACUCCGUCUCUCAAUAUUUAUAAGUCCUCCCCAGAAUCCAUAGGACUGACAUCUAAAGAGAUUGGAUUUACCAGUUUCACUGGAUUGGCGCCUGGGGUCAGUUACUUUUAUCCAUAGUUUAUAUUCAGUCGCCCCACAGGGAACAGACGCUCACCAGUGUGCCGCACAAUAUGUGUCAGACGCUCUUGGAUUUAAUUGUGAGCUGAUGCAUUCAGAGCGAUAUAUCUGUUCUUUUGCUCCUAGUUCCUGAAAAGAUAACUCAGGUGACUCAGCUCAUGGAUCGAAUGGAUCCAACGCUCGUCGUUUGUUAGAUAUCCAGCGGGCACCGCUAGGAGGUGACGAUGCGAUUUUGCCACGCCAACAACGAAUACCAUCAAAAAAUCAGUAUCAUCAUAAUUCAGUAUCAUCAAAAGGGAAAAUAUAUUAACCAAAAUGAAAAUGGGCAAUUAUGUUUGGCAUUUCAGUAAUAUUGUUUAAAAAUGAUAUAUUUUUAUAGAAAUAAUAAUAAUAGCGAUUGAUGUAAUCCUACAUGUAGUAAUAUAGGUACGCACAAAAAAAAAAGGUUGGCAAACAGAAUAUUAGCAAAAAUAAUAAAGUUUUUUUUUAUUAUUAAUACGCUCUUAUUAGCUUUGUUUGUAACUGACAAAGCAACUAAAAAUCAAGCCAUAUACAUAUUGGAAAACUAUUUUUACCCGAUUUCCAUUAUCGUAUCGAACUGAAACUUUGUACUCAUAUGAAGUUCAGAUGGCAACGCAAUAUUUUGGGGUCCGGACUCAGAGGAGGGGCAUUGGGGGGUUGAAACACCCAAACCUAUUUUAUCCCAUUCAAAUUAUCGCAAAAACUUUUGUAGGUAAGUUGCAAGAGAGGGGCUUUGGGAGUUCAUACCACCCAAAUAAAUUUUCAUCUACUUUCAAAUAUUAUACGACUAAAAAGCAAAAAAAAUAAAGCAGAUUUUUAUUUGGAAGGUAUGAGCUCCCAAAGCCCCUCUUAUGCAAAUUACCUACAAAUGUUUUUGCGAUAAUUUGAAUGGGAUAAAAUAGAUAAAGUAAAUAAUGAGAAAUAACCAAACUGCGGGUUAAAUAAGAAUUUCCAAUUAAAUUUUGCGAGCAAUGCAGAGGCGUACGUUGAGUUGCUGGGGCCCCGGGGCAAUACUACAUUUUGGGGCUCCUUUGUUAUUUGAGGGCCCCUUUGAUAUAGAGAAUAAGAACAAAUAAAAAAGUACGUAUGCACCUUAUUUUUACCGACUUCCAAAAUGGAGGAGGUAUUCAAUUCGUCUGUAUUUUUUUUUUUUUUUGUUUUUGUAACCUCAUAACUUUGGACUGGGCGAACCAAUUUAUAUAAUUCUUUUCAAAAGCUGGUGGCUGCAAUGUGGUCCCAUUUCAUUUUCGUUCAGUUCUGGCCAUAGGAACUAUUAGAAAAACCAUAAAACCCAGUUUUAGCCAUGGAAGUCGGUUUUGUUUUUUGAUAAAAAUGAUUAUUUGUUUUGUUUUGGGGCUCUUGAUGUAUCAUUUGUUGGUUGCUAAGUAAAUAACAUUUUUUGAGGCCCUAGAAUAAUAUAAAGUUUUUCUUUAAAAAAAACCAAUUUAUUGCCACUGAGGUAAUAUUUUUUUAUUGAGAUGGUGGCUGGCAUUCAAUUCAUUAUGCUUUACUCUGAAAAAUAUAUCUCUUGUGUCCGAAGUGAUUAAUGCCAAAUAUCUUAUCUUUUUGCUUCGUUACUUUUAUAAUAAGUUGCCUUUUCUGCAUUGUCCCCAGUCGGGGCCCUGUCCUGCCAUGUCAGGGGCCCCGGGGCACCGCCCCGCUUGCCCCAAUGGUGUGUAUGCCCCUGGAGCAAUGUCAAUGUGUAAAUCAACCCAAUAAACGCAAAAACCUGAACAAUAACGUUUUAUUCAAUAUAAUGUAUUUUUUAAGAAAUCGCCACGAAAUCUACAUGUUCGAACGCUAUUUACACGUGUAAAUAUAAAUACACGUGUAAAUAAAGUACACGUGUAAAUGUUUUUUAGAUACACGUGUACACGUGUAUCGGGUACACGUGUAAUUAAAUACACGAACAAAAUCGUAGGCUCUACUUUCAACCGAGCUUAUUAACCCCGCAAUCCUCUCACCCUUAUUUUGUUUUCGAUUAUCUGCAUAUACAAAAUGUAAACAACGACCUUAAAAAGUAAAUGCAGAAGAAAAUAAGACCUUACAUGGUAUAGUCUUCUCAAAUGAACUUUUGGCGCGCUAGAAUCCCAUUUCAUCCCACAGUGCGCCUCCACCUUCUUUAAAAUAAAAGUGAUCGAGUCUCUUUACACGGAACCGCUCAAUAUUUUACAUGCGCCCUUUCUGUCACCAAUAUCAUUCAUUAGAAUUGUCCCGUUAGUUAAAUCUUAUCUAUUUUGUGUGGAAUCAGUAAAAAGAAUUUCUCCUAUUCUGUUAGACCCCCUUGUUUAAUGGUAGAAAUAAAUGCAAAAAUAUUCUCCGCUUUAAUAAUUUAAAGAUAAUUUCAGUUAAUAUAUUUCGCGCGAAUUCAUUGACAGAAGACAAAAAUCAAGGUUUACUGAAAGGUAAAAAAAAAAUUGUCAAUACUUUUACGGAACAAACCUAACCAUGGUAAAAUAGGAUAUUAAGAGCCAUUUUCUUCACUAAAAGUUGAACUCAAGUUGAGGAUUUUUAUCCUCAACUUGUGAUUUUGUUUUUCUUCAAUCAAAGUUGACAUUUUCAACUUUUGAUUCUCAACUCUCAAGUUCAUCAACUUCAGAUUUUCUCAACUUGAGAAAUAAUAGAAGUUGAGAGAGCAAACUUGAGAUUUUACAUUAAAAUGUCUUGUUUUUUCUUUUUAUUUCCUUUUAAAGCAUUUAAUUUGAUGAAAAAUUAAAUGCCUAUCCGUUUACAAGAAAUAUUACUUAAAAUUUAGGAUUUAAUUAAAAUAAAUGAAAAAAAUGGCUCCAAAAAGAUUUGACAUUUGUAAAAAGAAAAAUAUCCAAGUAUAUUACCAAUUACAUUCAAAUCACUUUUUGUUGCACUUCAAAGUUAAUUAAUGAGGAUGUGCAACAGAUUCUCCAAUUGCAGAAAGAUAAAGAAUUUAUCAAUAAAUAAAUCAUACACAAGACCCGCCGAUUUUUGUAUAUUACUUCAAAAUGUUUGCUAUCCCACGUCACGCGGCACACACACAUUUUUAAAAUAAAUUCAUUUGUUUAAAAAUCAUUUUACCACUCGAAAAACAAAAUUUAACGAUGUGAAAUAUAGAUUUUUAAUUAUUUUUAAAACAAAGCUGACAUUUUGAACACAAAGAUUCCAUUCAAAUGACACAUAAAUUGCUUUUCAAAUAUAAACUGUCAAAAAUAUCCUAGGGAUAUUUUUUUAAACUGAGAGUUGGUCAACUUCUGUUUUCUAAACUCGAGAGUUGAGAAAAAAAAGUGAAGAAAACAAAUGUUCAACUUGUGUUUGAACUCUCUAGUUGAAGUCAACUCUCAAGUUCACCAACUCUCAAGUUUGCUUCAAGUUGAGCAAUAGUGAAGAAAAUGGGCCUAAAUUUUCAUUGUCGAUACACUUGUUUUAUCACCAUUUUUUUCUUUUAUUUUUUUUUUGUUUGGCGGUAGAGUCAUGUGAAUUCGAUGCUAGUAGUAGAAUCGCGCUCUUGUCAGCUGCAGUUUUCGGAAUUCACAAUUUGCCCUCUACAUAAUUACUAGAGUGACCGCAACUCCCAUAGAAAAAAUUUUUUGUCGAAUUUUUUUCGGGGGAACCCCAUAAAAUGUUCCGCCUUUGCAGAUUUUUAGAAAUUUCAGCUCGAUUGGAUAACUCUAAAUGGUGCCGACACUCGCUCAAAGUAUCAAAAAUCUCUGUUUUUUCACUGUUUUUCCAAGAAAAUUAGCUCUAGCUCCCAAACAAAUCGGGUUAUUUUCACUUUUUAUAUAUUAAAUUAAAGGUAGUGUUGUUACACAUAAUUCAGAUGCUAAAUUUGUUUAGUUUUACUAAAAACGAAAAAUAUUGUCAUCAAUUUAAAUUUUCAGUACUUACCUCAAAAAGAGCUGAAGUGCAAACUCGAUUUAAAAUUAAACUUUUUUUUAACUGUUUUAUUCUGCGGAUUGGGAUAGAAUGGAUGUUUCUCUAUCUCUGGGCCCUCGGGUAGCAAAAGUAUGAGGUAUAGUCGUGGGGUGAAAGAGCUAUUAACAAUGAAACUUUCUAUGUUAUUGGAUCGAUGUAAGGCAUCUGAUAGAAAUGCUUUUCACAUAAUUAUAGCUACAAUAGAAGCACUAGGGCAAAAUCCAAUUGACGUUGUAGUUUCAAAAUCAAACUUACAUUCGACAAGAAAAACUUUUGCUUGGUUUAAUGCCCCAAGAGCUUAUCUGGCUCCUAAACAAGAUCUUGAUCUUUUGCGUAAUAACAUUGAAUACCGCAAGAUAGACAAAGAUAUUUCAGAGAAGGCUCUUGCUAAAUUCUCAAACCAUUUAUGGUAUUUGAGUUCAGAGCUGGCAGGUCUGGCGUUCUUUGACCUAACUUUACGAGAUUGCGAAAAAUUAGAAACGGCCAACAUAAUUUUGAAAACCAGUGAAACGGAAACCAACAGAAUAGUAAAUCCAAAGCUACAGACACAUGAAGAUGAACAAUUUGUCACAGCAGUGAUCCGUUCUUUUAUUGAACAAUGUUAACUAUUGUUGUUAUGUCAAAAAAAUCGUUGUAUUUGUUUUUGUUAGAUUUUGUUACAAAAUGUAAACUUUGAUUUAGGAACGACUAAAUGUUACAUUUUGUUGAUCUGUCAAAAGAAAAAUUUUUGAGAUUAAUUUUAUGAAUGAAUAAACAAGAAAAAAUUAAUUUCGUACUGAAAUAAUUCUUUUUAAUUGAAUUCUAAGCAAAUUGAAACAAAAAUAUGCAUUCAAUAAUUUCAAAUACGGAAACAAACAAGAAAUUCUCUUCUCACAUCAUCCCCUCUCUUCUCCAUUUAGUUGUGUUUGACAGAUUAACAUUGAAACUCAAGUCCAGGAGCUGAGUUGAAAAAAGUAACAAAAUGUAACUAUUUGACACUUCAACACUGGAUUUAGGAACGAUGUUGUGACGUCACGAUGUUACACUUUGUAACUUUUUUCUCAUUUAGGAACGAUGAAAGUUAACUAUUGUUAACAAUAGUUAACAUUGUCGAAUAAAAGAACGCAUCACAGGGUUAACAAAUAUUGUGAACAAAGAAACAUUGAACUUUUUAAGCCGAUUGAAAAUAGACACAAGUUUUCUCAAAGAACUUCCAAAUCUUUGGCCCGAAAACCCGCAUUUUAAAGAUGGCUUUAAAAAAGUGCAAUCACUUAAAGUCGUAAAUGACAUGACAGAAAGAGGAGUCAAAUUAAUAACCGAUUUUAAUAACCUUUUAACUAAAGAUGAGGAAAAAAACAAUAUGUACUUAAAGUAGUCAGUGAGUACCGAAAAUUUGUAUCCUGAUGCUUUCAAAACUACUUUGUAAAUCUCUUGAUUAAAUUUUUUUAGUAAUUACUUCAUUAAUUAUGUAUAAAAAAUGUAACACGAUGUUAUUUUUUUUUGUUUUUUAGGACGUGUGUGAAUUGCGUAAAAUAGUUAACAUAGUGUAAAAUUUUUGACACUAUUGAGGUGAAUAAAAAAAUUUUCAGCUGUUAAAAUUUUAUUGGGCUCUGGGACUUGGCUAAAUUUGAGUUAAAUUUUUUUUGUAGAUGGUUUUGUUUUGUUUUUUUUUUAUUAAAAAGGAUUUUCAUAGCAGAAAAGAGGCAGAGAAAAAUAUUAAACAAUAAGCCAUACAGCUGAAAUUUCUUUGUUCACCUCAAUAGUGUCAAAAAUUUUACACGGUGUACUAUUUAACGCAAUUCACACACAGCCUUAGAAUUCUGUUAAAUGUUUCGUUUUUUUAAAUAAAACAGUUUAAAAAAAAAGUUUCAUUUUAAAUCGAGUUUGCACUUCAGCUCUUUUUGAGGUAAGUACUGAAAAUUUAAAUUGAUGACAAAAUUUUUCUUUUUUAGUAAAACUAAGCAAAUUUAGCAUCUGAAUUACGUGUAGCAACACUACCU